UACACAGUGAAGUACCAUGAUGUGCGUCACGAGCCUGUCGGUGUUCGCGGUCUUCCUCGCGCUUCUCUCACAGUCGUUUGGAUCCCCGAUGGCGCAUGCGCAUCAGGGGGACACAGGAUCGCACCCAGCGCACGAUGUGCAUCCGGAGCCAGGUUUUCAUGCUGUCCAUCACCCUGUGAAAGCGAUGUUGCGGGAUGAAAAUGAAUUGGUUGCAGGAUCUGGAUUGGGAAUGCUAGCAGUGUGAACUGGAUGAGGGGAAGAGGAUGGAAGAACUAAUUUUGUGGUUUCGUUGACGUGGUGAGCCUCAAGUAACUU